rnacentral:sRNA from 1 species
GUGUUUUCUUCUAGAUUCUUUCCACCAUGGCCAGACGCCCCCGGAACAGCAGGGCCUGGCACUUCGUCCUGAGUGCAGCCCGCCGAGACGCAGAUGCCCGGGCCGUGGCUCUAGCAGGCUCCACCAACUGGGGCUACGACUCUGAUGGGCAGCACAGUGACUCGGACUCCGACCCCGAGUACUCCACGCUGCCGCCAUCCAUCCCCAGUGCGGUGCCCGUGACCGGCGAGUCCUUCUGUGACUGUGCUGGGCAGGGUGAGGCCUCCUCCUGUAGCAGCCUGCACGCGGCCCACCGGGGCAAGGACUGCCGCUGCGGAGAGGAAGACGAGUGUGAGCGUGGGGCCCAGCCCCUGCUGGGACUGCACUGCGGGUGGGCCUGGGAGCGGGCAGGGCAGAGCCCCAUGGAGCUCUCGGGGCUGCCCCAGCCUGGGCCUCUCUUGCAGAUUUCGACUGGGUCUGGGAUGACUUGAAUAAGUCAUCAGCUACCCUGCUGAGCUGUGACAACCGUAAGGUCAGCUUCCACAUGGAGUACAGCUGCGGCACAGCGGCCAUCCGGGGCACCAAGGAGCUGGGGGAGGGCCAGCACUUCUGGGAGAUCAAGAUGACCUCACCCGUCUAUGGCACCGACAUGAUGGUGGGCAUCGGGACGUCGGAUGUGGACCUGGACAAAUACCGCCACACGUUCUGCAGCCUGCUGGGCAGGGAUGAGGACAGCUGGGGCCUCUCCUACACGGGUGCGUGAGGCCCAGGGUGGGGCGGGGCUGAGCCUGGAGCUCCUGGGCUCACUGCAACCCCGGCUGCCCCCAGGCCUCCUCCACCACAAGGGCGACAAGACCAGCUUCUCGUCGCGGUUUGGCCAGGGCUCCAUCAUUGGCGUACACCUGGACACCUGGCAUGGCACGCUCACCUUUUUCAAGAAUAGGAAGUGCAUAGGUGUGGCAGCCACCAAGCUGCAGAACAAGAGGUUCUACCCGAUGGUGUGCUCCACGGCGGCCCGGAGCAGCAUGAAGGUCACCCGCUCCUGCGCCAGCGCCACCUCCCUCCAGUACCUCUGCUGCCACCGCCUGCGCCAGCUGCGGCCAGACUCGGGGGACACGCUGGAGGGUCUGCCGCUGCCGCCAGGCCUCAAGCAGGUGCUACACAACAAGCUGGGCUGGGUCCUGAGCAUGAGUUGCAGCCGCCGCAAGGCUCCAGUGUCCGAUCCCCAGGCAGCGACCUCGGCCCACCCCAGCAGUCGUGAGCCUCGGCCCUGCCAGAGGAAGCGCUGCCGUCGGACCUGACUGACUUCCCAGUGGAACUGCCUUCUCAGGCUGGGACAGCCGUUUUCUCUAUCCCUUCCUUCCAGCCACACUCCAGGGCGGAGUUGGAUGAGGCCCGUCCGGAGGGAGCCAUCUCUUGCUCCCAAGGCUGGGACAGUCCUUUCUGUGGGGGCUCUAGGGCCCCUCUGCUGCUGUGCUGGGUGGGGAAGCGGCUGCCCUGAGCCCCAGGUCUUGUGGGAGGCCGCGAGGAGAGCCUGGCUGGAGCCCGCGUUGCUGUUCCCACAGGGCCUCGGGUUUUUCGUAAC